GAUGAACGCUAGCGGCAGGCCUAAUACAUGCAAGUCGAGCGGGGUUUUCGGACCUAGCGGCGGACGGGUGAGUAAUGCGUAGGAAGCUACCCGAUAGAGGGGGAUACCAGUUGGAAACGACUGUUAAUACCGCAUAAUGUCUACGGACCAAAGUGUGGGACCUUCGGGCCACAUGCUAUCGGAUGCGCCUACGUGGGAUUAGCUAGUUGGUGGGGUAAUGGCUCACCAAGGCGACGAUCCCUAGCUGGUUUGAGAGGAUGAUCAGCCACACUGGAACUGAGACACGGUCCAGACUCCUACGGGAGGCAGCAGUGGGGAAUAUUGGACAAUGGGCGCAAGCCUGAUCCAGCCAUGCCGCGUGUGUGAAGAAGGCCUUCGGGUUGUAAAGCACUUUCAGUAGGGAGGAAGGGUGUUGUGUUAAUAGCACAGCAUUUUGACGUUACCUACAGAAGAAGCACCGGCUAACUCUGUGUCAGCCGCCGCGGUAAUAC
rnacentral:rRNA from 1 species